rnacentral:rRNA from 1 species
UACGUAGGGGCCAAGCGUUGUCCGGAUUUAUUGGGCGUAAAGAGCUCGUAGGCGGUUGGGUAAGUCGGGUGUGAAAACUCCAGGCUCAACUUGGAGAUGCCACCCGAUACUGCUCUGACUUGAGUUCGGUAGGGGAGUGGGGAAUUCCUGGUGUAGCGGUGAAAUGCGCAGAUAUCAGGAGGAACACCGGUGGCGAAGGCGGGUCUCUGGGCCGAUACUGACGCUGAGGAGCGAAAGCGUGGGUAGCAAACAGG